rnacentral:sRNA from 1 species
GUGCAACGUCAACUUGGUCUGGGUUGAUGAAGUGUACGUGUGUGUCAAUUGCGCCAGCUGUAACAAUUUUACCUUCAGCAGCAAUGACUUCUGUAGCUGUACCAACGAUCAUGUUUGGCGUAACGCCAUCCAUAAUGUCCGGGUUACCGCCUUUACCGAUGCCGACGAUGUAACCGUCUUUCACACCGAUAUCCGCUUUGUAAAUUCCUGUAUGGUCAAGAAUAAGUGCAUUUGUAAGUAGAAGGUCAAGUACAUUUUCAUUGCGCGUGUAUGUACCGUUUUCUCCCAUACCUUCAC